GAUGAACGCUGGCGGCGUGCCUAAUACAUGCAAGUCGAGCGAACGGACGAGAAGCUUGCUUCUCUGAUGUUAGCGGCGGACGGGUGAGUAACACGUGGAUAACCUACCUAUAAGACUGGGAUAACUUCGGGAAACCGGAGCUAAUACCGGAUAAUAUUUUGAACCGCAUGGUUCAAAAGUGAAAGACGGUCUUGCUGUCACUUAUAGAUGGAUCCGCGCUGCAUUAGCUAGUUGGUAAGGUAGCGGCUUACCAAGGCAACGAUGCAUAGUCGACCUGAGAGGGUGAUCGGCCACACUGGAACUGAGACACGGUCCAGACUCCUACGGGAGGCAGCAGUAGGGAAUCUUCCGCAAUGGGCGAAAGCCUGACGGAGCAACGCCGCGUGAGUGAUGAAGGUCUUCGGAUCGUAAAACUCUGUUAUUAGGGAAGAACAUAUGUGUAAGUAACUGUGCACAUCUUGACGGUACCUAAUCAGAAAGCCACGGCUAACUACGUGCCAGCAGCCGCGGUAAUACGUAGGUGGCAAGCGUUAUCCGGAAUUAUUGGGCGUAAAGCGCGCGUAGGCGGUUUUUUAAGUCUGAUGUGAAAGCCCACGGCUCAACCGUGGAGGGUCAUUGGAAACUGGAAAACUUGAGUGCAGAAGAGGAAAGUGGAAUUCCAUGUGUAGCGGUGAAAUGCGCAGAGAUAUGGAGGAACACCAGUGGUGAAGGCGACUUUCUGGUCUGUAACUGACGCUGAUGUGCGAAAGCGUGGGGAUCAAACAGGAUUAGAUACCCUGGUAGUCCACGCCGUAAACGAUGAGUGCUAAGUGUUAGGGGGUUUCCGCCCCUUAGUGCUGCAGCUAACGCAUUAAGCACUCCGCCUGGGGAGUACGACCGCAAGGUUGAAACUCAAAGGAAUUGACGGGGACCCGCACAAGCGGUGGAGCAUGUGGUUUAAUUCGAAGCAACGCGAAGAACCUUACCAAAUCUUGACAUCCUUUGACAACUCUAGAGAUAGAGCCUUCCCCUUCGGGGGACAAAGUGACAGGUGGUGCAUGGUUGUCGUCAGCUCGUGUCGUGAGAUGUUGGGUUAAGUCCCGCAACGAGCGCAACCCUUAAGCUUAGUUGCCAUCAUUAAGUUGGGCACUCUAAGUUGACUGCCGGUGACAAACCGGAGGAAGGUGGGGAUGACGUCAAAUCAUCAUGCCCCUUAUGAUUUGGGCUACACACGUGCUACAAUGGACAAUACAAAGGGCAGCGAAACCGCGAGGUCAAGCAAAUCCCAUAAAGUUGUUCUCAGUUCGGAUUGUAGUCUGCAACUCGACUACAUGAAGCUGGAAUCGCUAGUAAUCGUAGAUCAGCAUGCUACGGUGAAUACGUUCCCGGGUCU
rnacentral:rRNA from 1 species